CCUACGGGAGGCUGCAGUGGGGAAUAUUGGACAAUGGGGGCAACCCUGAUCCAGCCAUGCCGCGUGUGUGAAGAGGGCCCUCGGGUUGUAAAGCACUUUCAGUGAGGAAGAACGCCUGGUGGUUAAUACCCAUCAGGAAAGACAUCACUCACAGAAGAAGCACCGGCUAACUCCGUGCCAGCAGCCGCGGUAAUACGGAGGGUGCGAGCGUUAAUCGGAAUUACUGGGCGUAAAGCGCGCGUAGGUGGCUUGAUAAGCCGGUUGUGAAAGCCCCGGGCUCAACCUGGGAACGGCAUCCGGAACUGUCAAGCUAGAGUGCAGGAGAGGAAGGUAGAAUUCCCGGUGUAGCGGUGAAAUGCGUAGAGAUCGGGAGGAAUACCAGUGGCGAAGGCGGCCUUCUGGACUGACACUGACACUGAGGUGCGAAAGCGUGGGUAGCAAACAGGAUUAGAUACCCUAGUAGUC
rnacentral:rRNA from 1 species